CAGAGUUGCGAGACUCCCUAAACCAUUGUGAACCUACCUUCUACCGUUGCUUACGGCGGGCGGGCCGCAGCGCCCCCCCCCGGCCCCCCCGCGGGCCGCCCGCCGGAGGAUACCCAAACUCUUGACAUUAGUGGCCUCUCUGAGUAUUCUUUACUGAAUAAGUCA
rnacentral:misc_RNA from 1 species